rnacentral:misc_RNA from 1 species
GCCCAAAACUGAUGAAGAGGGCUGGGCGGAGAGCUGAUAUAUACAGGAGCCAGGAAGAGGAGACGACCGACUAGGAGUUCUUUCUUCCUUGUUCUACCAUUCAAACACCUGUUCCCUGUACAGUGAUAUAUCCAUUGCUCUUUUUAAAGAAACAAAAUACUUGUAUUAUAGAAAGUAGAAAUGGAUCUUUCAAUCCCUUCGUCUUUCUCUGAAAUCUCUUCAUCUCGAUCUCUCUCUCAACCAUCUUUCCAGAAGCUCAGAUUAUUUCCUGUUAUCUGUAACUUCAAUCUCAAAUCCAGAAAGUUCCCCACUCGAUCCUUGUUUUGGCGCCAAAAUUGUCUCUCUCUCAGAGCUCAAACUUCUAACGGGGCGCUUAACGAUGGCUUCGUCCUCGAAGAUGUUCCUCACUUGACAGAUUACCUUCCUGAUCUUCCUACUUAUUCCAAUCCGCUACAAGACAAUCCUGCAUACUCGGUUGUUAAGCAGUACUUUGUCCAUGUGGAUGACACUGUUCCUCAAAAGGUCAGCUUUCCCUUAAUUUUCAUGGAUAAAGAUAUGCAGUGUGCAUGUUCUGCACGCAUUAUUCUCUAUAGAAUGAAGUUAUUUAGAGAAAUUGCAUUAUAGAUGUGGUACUUCAUUAAGGAGAAUGAAUGUGUUUUUGCUGAAGUAGUUGUCUCAAUGACUGGGUUCUUUUAGCUAUAACAUGUUCGGGUGCAGUCGUGGUUUGUUCUAUAUCAAUAUUUAUGAUUGGCUUUAUGGAGUUAGCUGUUGGUUGCACCUUAAAUACCAUAAGUUUGUUAAGAGUUGGACAUAAUUUAACAUAUGGGGCUAUAGGAGAUGAGCUAAAAUUCUAGAAAACUAGAAUGUAAUCCUUUUGUUGUAAUUUUGUCUUCCCUUCUUUUUAGAUUGUUGUGCACAAGGAUGGUCCAAGAGGGAUACAUUUCCGACGCGCUGGACCACGCCAAAAGGUUUAUUUUGAAUCAGAUGAAGUUCAUGCUUGCAUUGUAACAUGUGGGGGUCUCUGCCCUGGACUCAACACUGUGAUUAGGGAACUAGUAUGUGGUUUGCACCAUAUGUAUGGCGUGAAGAGAGUGCUGGGAAUUGAUGGUGGUUACAGGGGAUUUUAUGCUCGAAAUACCAUUAACCUGACACCUAAAGUUGUAAAUGAUAUUCAUAAACGUGGUGGGACCAUCCUUGGGACAUCACGAGGCGGCCAUGACACUGCAAAGAUAGUUGAUAGCAUUCAGGAUCGAGGAAUUAAUCAGGUUUACAUAAUAGGAGGGGAUGGAACUCAAAAAGGGGCAUCAGUGAUAUUUGAGGAAAUUAGAAGAAGAGGUCUCAAAGUUGCAGUUGCUGGAAUUCCCAAAACCAUUGAUAAUGACAUUCCAGUUAUUGACAAAUCCUUUGGUUUUGACACUGCUGUUGAGGAAGCUCAACGUGCUAUUAAUGCAGCACAUGUUGAAGCUGAGAGUAUCGAGAAUGGUAUUGGUCUUGUGAAGUUAAUGGGUCGUAAUAGUGGAUUUAUUGCAAUGUACGCUACUCUUGCAAGCCGAGAUGUCGAUUGUUGCUUGAUACCAGAGUCACCCUUUUAUCUUGAAGGGGAAGGUGGUCUUUUUGAUUACAUAGAGAAACGACUCAAAGAAAAUGGCCACAUGGUUAUUGUGAUAGCUGAAGGUGCUGGGCAAGAGUUGCUUUCUCAGACCAUCCAAUCAACUCAGCAGGAUGCUUCAGGAAACAAACUUCUCCAAGAUGUUGGUUUGUGGAUAUCACAGAGGAUCAAGGAUUAUUUUUCAAAGCAGAAGAAGAUGACCAUAAACCUCAAAUAUAUAGAUCCUACAUACAUGAUCCGUGCUAUUCCAAGCAAUGCAUCUGACAAUGUGUACUGCACACUUCUUGCUCAAAGUGUUGUGCAUGGAGCAAUGGCUGGAUACACUGGCUUUACAAGUGGUCUUGUUAAUGGCAGACAAACUUACAUACCCUUUUAUCGAAUCAUUGAGAAGCAGAACAAGGUAGUUAUAACAGAUAGGAUGUGGGCUAGGCUUCUGUCUUCAACAAAUCAGCCUAGUUUUUGGAGUGCUAAAGAUUGCAUUGAAGACAAGAAAGAGGAUAUUGCCAAAGUCAAGGAGGAGGAAGAACCGGAAAACCGGUUAAUGGAUAAUGGGAAUUGUGCCAGCGAUAUUGUGGCAAAGAAAGAGGUCAGCUACAUGUGAUUGAGAUUGAAACCAUAAUAGUCUAUAAGAUUGUUACUAUCAUUGCAUUGCCUACCAUGUAUCUUGGUUAUGUUAGAUUAAUGAUAUUAUGAGUGAGUUCUGCCCUUCGGUUUAUUUCAGGGUACUUGGAAAUGGUAGUAUUCUUUGCUGAGAUACAAUAGUUUUGGUCAUGAAUAAUGGCAAAGUUGAAUGAGAAAAAUUAACUCAAUGCACUGUAUUGUAUGAUGACUUGAUUUAAAUUAUUACAACUUUUAUUUUGUCAUUUAAUUCCUAAUAUGGCAUGAAAAUGAGAAGCAAAACAGCACCUGAAGACCUCAUCAAAUGUUGUGGUGGCAGUGUGGGUGGUGGGUAUGAAAAAGAUGUGGAUAGUUCAAAAAAUGCUGUGGUCAUUUUCUUCUAUGACAGUUGCUGCAGAACAGUUGACUUUAAAUCGAGUGAGUUGAUAAUGGGGCCUGAAACUCAAGGCUGAACAUGUUUCAUGCCUCAUCAACUUUGGAUCAUUUAACAAUCUGCAUUAUAUUCUGGCAAGUUAACGUCAUAUUGCAAAAGUAGAAACAUGUGCUUCCAGGAAUCGGGUUUCCCUGGAUAGCAAGUCAGGGUAAACAUUUGUAAUUUUUAC